GUGGUUUCAAUCCGGGUUCAUCCCUUCACUUAAUUUGCAGAGUUUCUUUCAUCUUCCUGGCCCUUGUGGUUGCAUUCCCUUGUGUUUGCAGAUUUUUGCUUUUUGGCCUGUGUUAUCUAAUUAGGCCUGAUCUAUUUAGCUGUCACAGAGUACAACAAUCUGUAGCUAGGCUUCUGUUAUUAUUGAUGGUAAUAUUGUAUGGAAGGAUCCCCAGAUGGCGUUAAACAUAGUCUUACGAACUCCUUUUCUGGCGUAAAGAAGAUUUUUAAUAUUUUAGUGUUGUGGAAACAGUAAAGCUUUGAAAAUUCUGGGCAGAGGACAUAAAUACUAAGGACAUCACUGCAACUCAUGCAUAGAGCCCCUGCUGUGAAGUGCCUUGGCUGCUAAUGAGACCCUGUGUGAUCUCUUAUCGCUGGAGGGGCUGCCAGAUGCCACUAGGAAGAGUCCCAGAGAACUGGUGAUGAGCAUAAGGCUUGUGAGAAGUAGUUGCUAAGAACAGUAGCUCCACAAGAAACUUUGGGUUUAGCAGUCGCUGCCUU